rnacentral:rRNA from 1 species
CUGAAGUAACAAAUGCCCUGCUUCCAGGAAAAGCCUCUAAGCAUCAGGUAACAUCAAAUCGUACCCCAAACCGACACAGGUGGUCAGGUAGAGAAUACCAAGGCGCUUGAGAGAACUCGGGUGAAGGAACUAGGCAAAAUGGUGCCGUAACUUCGGGAGAAGGCACGCUGGUGUGUAGGUGAAGUCCCUGCGGAUGGAGCUGAGACCAGUCGAAGAUACCAGCUGGCUGCAACUGUUUAUUAAAAACACAGCACUGUGCAAACACGAAAGUGGACGUAUACGGUGUGACGCCUGCCCGGUGCCGGAAGGUUAAUUGAUGGGGUUAUCCGUAAGGAGAAGCUCUUGAUCGAAGCCCCGGUAAACGGCGGCCGUAACUAUAACGGUCCUAAGGUAGCGAAAUUCCUUGUCGGGUAAGUUCCGACCUGCACGAAUGGCGUAAUGAUGGCCAGGCUGUCUCCACCCGAGACUCAGUGAAAUUGAACUCGCUGUGAAGAUGCAGUGUACCCGCGGCAAGACGGAAAGACCCCGUGAACCUUUACUAUAGCUUGACACUGAACAUUGAGCCUUGAUGUGUAGGAUAGGUGGGAGGCUUUGAAGCGUGGACGCCAGUCUGCGUGGAGCCAACCUUGAAAUACCACCCUUUAAUGUUUGAUGUUCUAACGUGGGCCCCUAAUCGGGGUUGCGGACAGUGUCUGGUGGGUAGUUUGACUGGGGCGGUCUCCUCCCAAAGCGUAACGGAGGAGCACGAAGGUUAGCUAAUCCUGGUCGGACAUCAGGAGGUUAGUGCAAUGGCAUAAGCUAGCUUGACUGCGAGCGUGACGGCGCGAGCAGGUGCGAAAGCAGGUCAUAGUGAUCCGGUGGUUCUGAAUGGAAGGGCCAUCGCUCAACGGAUAAAAGGUACUCCGGGGAUAACAGGCUGAUACCGCCCAAGAGUUCAUAUCGACGGCGGUGUUUGGCACCUCGAUGUCGGCUCAUCACAUCCUGGGGCUGAAGUAGGUCCCAAGGGUAUGGCUGUUCGCCAUUUAAAGUGGUACGCGAGCUGGGUUUAGAACGUCGUGAGACAGUUCGGUCCCUAUCUGCCGUGGGCGCUGGAGAAUUGAGGGGGGCUGCUCCUAGUACGAGAGGACCGGAGUGGACGCAUCACUGGUGUUCGGGUUGUCAUGCCAAUGGCACUGCCCGGUAGCUAAAUGCGGAAGAGAUAAGUGCUGAAAGCAUCUAAGCACGAAACUUGCCCCGAGAUGAGUUCUCCCUGAGACUAUAAGUCUCCUGAAGGAACGUUGAAGACGACGACGUUGAUAGGCCGGGUGUGUAAGCGCAGCGAUGCGUUGAGCUAACCGGUACUAAUGAACCGUGAGGCUUAACCUU